GCCAGCAUGGUGUAGUGGUUUGAGCGUUGGACUGUGACUCUGGAGACCAGGGUUCGAUUCCCUGCAUUGCCA
rnacentral:tRNA from 1 species